rnacentral:rRNA from 1 species
UCUUCGGCAAUGGACGCAAGUCUGACCGAGCAACGCCGCGUGAGUGAAGAAGGUUUUCGGAUCGUAAAACUCUGUUGUAAGAGAAGAACGUUGAUGAGAGUGGAAAGUUCAUCAAGUGACGGUAUCUUACCAGAAAGCCACGGCUAACUACGUGCCAGCAGCCGCGGUAAUACGUAGGUGGCAAGCGUUGUCCGGAUUUAUUGGGCGUAAAGCGAGCGCAGGCGGUUGAUUAAGUCUGAUGUGAAAGCCCCCGGCUCAACCGGGGAGGGUCAUUGGAAACUGGUCAACUUGAGUGCAGAAGAGGAGAGUGGAAUUCCAUGUGUAGCGGUGAAAUGCGUAGAUAUAUGGAGGAACACCAGUGGCGAAGGCGGCUCUCUGGUCUGUAACUGACGCUGAGGCUCGAAA